rnacentral:rRNA from 1 species
UACGUAGGGUGCGAGCGUUAAUCGGAAUUACUGGGCGUAAAGCGUGCGCAGGCGGUUAUGUAAGACAGAGGUGAAAUCCCCGGGCUCAACCUGGGAACUGCCUUUGUGACUGCAUGACUAGAGUACGGCAGAGGGGGAUGGAAUUCCGCGUGUAGCAGUGAAAAGCGUAGAUAGGCGGAGGAACACCGAUGGCGAAGGCAAUCCCCUGGGCCUGUACUGACGCUCAUGCACGAAAGCGUGGGGGGCAAACAGG